rnacentral:rRNA from 1 species
UAUUUAUUAGAUAAAAAACCAAUGCCCUUCGGGGCUCCUUGGUGAAUCAUAAUAACUUAACGAAUCGCAUGGCCUUGCGCCGGCGAUGGUUCAUUCAAAUUUCUGCCCUAUCAACUUUCGAUGGUAGGAUAGUGGCCUACCAUGGUAUCAACGGGUAACGGGGAAUUAGGGUUCGACUCCGGAGAGGGAGCCUGAGAAACGGCUACCACAUCCAAGGAAGGCAGCAGGCGCGCAAAUUACCCAAUCCCGGCACGGGGAGGUAGUGACAAUAAAUACUGAUACAGGGCUCUUUUGGGUCUUGUAAUUGGAAUGAGUACAAUUUAAAUCCCUUAACGAGGAACAAUUGGAGGGCAAGUCUGGUGCCAGCAGCCGCGGUAAUUCCAGCUCCAAUAGCGUAUAUUAAAGUUGUUGCAGUUAAAAAGCUCGUAGUUGAACCUUGGGCCUGGCUGGCCGGUCCGCCUCACCGCGUGUACUGGUCCGGCCGGGCCUUUCCUUCUGGGGAACCUCAUGCCCUUCACUGGGCGUGUUGGGGAACCAGGACUUUUACUUUGAAAAAAUUAGAGUGUUCAAAGCAGG